UACGUAGGGGGCUAGCGUUGUCCGGAAUCAUUGGGCGUAAAGCGCGUGUAGGCGGUUCGGUAAGUCUGCUGUGAAAGUCGGGGGGCUCAACCCUCGAAUGCCGGUGGAUACUGUCGGACUAGAGUGCGGAAGAGGCGAGUGGAAUCCUGGUGUAGCGGUGAAAUGCGCAGAUAUCAGGAGGAACACCAAUUGCGAAGGCAGCUCGCUGGAACGGUACUGACGCUGGAGGCGC
rnacentral:rRNA from 1 species